rnacentral:rRNA from 1 species
GACGAACGCUGGCGGCGUGCUUAACACAUGCGAGUCGAACGAAGAGCGAUGGACGCUUGCUUCUAUCAAUCUUAGUGGCGAACGGGUGAGUAACGCGUAAUCAACCUGCCCUUCAGAGGGGGACAACAGUUGGAAACGACUGCUAAUACCGCAUACGAUCCAAUCUCGGCAUCGGGACUGGAUGAAAGGUGGCCUCUAUUUAUAAGCUAUCACUGAAGGAGGGGAUUGCGUCUGAUUAGCUAGUUGGAGGGGUAACGGCCCACCAAGGCGAUGAUCAGUAGCCGGUCUGAGAGGAUGAACGGCCACAUUGGGACUGAGACACGGCCCAGACUCCUACGGGAGGCAGCAGUGGGGAAUCUUCCGCAAUGGACGAAAGUCUGACGGAGCAACGCCGCGUGAGGGAUGACGGCCUUCGGGUUGUAAAGCUCUGUUAAUCGGGACGAAUGGUUCUUGUGCGAAUAGUGCGAGGAUUUGACGGUACCGGAAGAGAAAGCCACGGCUAACUACGUG